rnacentral:rRNA from 1 species
GCCAGCUUAACUUUUCGAANUCCGGGAGANUGCAAGACUGGGAUCGGGAGAGUUCAGAGGUACUUNUGGGUAGGGGUAAAANUCCUGUAAUCCUAGAAGGACCCCCCGGUGGCGAAGGCGUCUGACUAGAACGAAUUCGACGGUGAGGAACGAAGCCCUGGGGCGCAAACGGGAUUAGAUACCCCGGUAGUCCAGGGUGUAAACGCUGCGGGCUUGGUGUUGGGGGUCCUUAGUGGGCGCCCAGUGCCGGAGAGAAGUUGUUAAGCCUGCUGCUUGGGGAGUAUGUCCGCAAGGAUGAAACUUAAAGGAAUUGGCGGGGGAGCACCGCAACGGGAGGAGCGUGCGGUUCAAUUGGAUUCAACGCCGGACAACUCACCAGGAGCGACGAUCACAUGAAAGCCAGGCUGAUGACCUUGCUUGAUUCUUCGAGAGGUGGUGCAUGGCCGUCGUCAGUUCGUACCGUAAGGCGUUCUCUUAAGUGAGAUAACGAACGAGACCCUCACCGUUAAUUGCUAGCAUUCUCUCCGGAGGGUGCGCACAUUAACGGGACCGCUGCCGCUAAGACAGAGGAAGGAGAGGUCAACGGUAGGUCCGUAUGCCCCGAAUCUCCUGGGCUACACGCGCGCUACAAAGGUUGGGACAAUGGGUUCCUACAUCGAAAGGUGACGGCAAUCUCGAAACCCAACCGUAGUUCGGAUUGAGGGCUGUAACUCGCCCUCAUGAAGCUGGAUUCCGUAGUAAUCGCUUGUCAACAUCAAGCGGUGAAUAUGCCCCUGCUCCUUGCACACACCGCCCGUCAAACCGGACCGAGUUGGGUUUC